rnacentral:lncRNA from 1 species
UCGAAAGGAUAAGUCUUUAAGAAAACUAUCUUCGAUUAAAAAUAAAAAUGCACAUAGUUUUUUCUUCGGUUUAAGAAAGAUAUAUUGUAACCUCAAAAAGCAAGAUUCAGCUUCUUUAUUACAAUCAUCACAACUCAACAUAUAUAGUCAUUAAAAGUCUUUUGAUUAGAGCGCAUGAAGCAGAGAAUUAUAUAUUUAGAUCCUUUCAUGAAGAUUUGAUUGCAUAGGUUGAACACGAAAUGAAAAUGGCAUCUGGGAAUUGAAAUCUUCCACUCUCAUCAAAUUGAUCAUUAUCCGUUUCUCUCCCACCUUCCACUGCCAUGCGUUGAUGCUGCUGAAAAAAUACAAUGCCACAAAAAUAUUAUAUGCAAUGAAAGAUAAAUUAUAUACUAAUGAUAAAUGAACAAUUUGAUUGAUAGGGUAAAUGUGUCUCAUGCUUUCAUGGAGUCGGCAGUGUUAUUUCUUAAGUGUAAGGUGGGCUCUCUUCCAUUUACCAUGGCCGAUCCAAUGCAUUUGUAUGCCUAGAGCAAAUUUGAAUUGAGGCCUUUUAAAUAUGUU